rnacentral:rRNA from 1 species
UACGGAGGGUGCAAGCGUUGUCCGGAUUUAUUGGGUUUAAAGGGUGCGUAGGCGGUUCUUUUAAGUCUGGGGUGAAAGCCCGUUGCUCAACAACGGAACUGCCCCUGGAAACUGGAGGACUUGAGUACAGACGAGGGUGGCGGAAUGGAUGCUGUAGCGGUGAAAUGCAUAGAUAGCAUCCAGAACCCCCGAUUGCGAAGGCAG